AUACGAGAAGAAGGCUGAGAGGGAUGGGGAUUUUGUUGAGGGCUUCGCUUAGGAUGCAAGCAAACUAUGGGGAUAAGAUCACCAGCACAUGCCUAGGCGAGCUAGAGUACUAAUGGUGAUCGGAUAAGAGCAAUGAGACUGCAGGUCUGGGCGCUAGCUGGAGGAGAGGGCUCCGUUUUAUCCAUUGGGCGUGGAUGGGGGCGAUGGGACGCGCGUGUCUGGGUGAUGAAGGCAGGCGUGGCGACGGCGACGCGCGCACAUGGGCGAUGGUGCAGCUCCGUGUUUUCUGGAGAGAAUCUAGGAGAGCGGUUAGAGGUGCGGCUUGGCGUGGUGCGGGCCCUGGCACGACGCGGCACGGAAGGGAUGACGCGGGCGCGGGCGUGGGUCCGGCGCGAUGCGACGCACGGCGCGAUACAACGCGAUACGGUUGCGGAGCGGCAAGUGCGGUGCGGCUAGGGUUGGGGUCGGACGCAGCUGAGGGGAAGGAGGCGCGGUUGCGGUGCGGCACGGGCGUGACUGGCGCGGCCAGAAGCGAUGUGGUGCACGCAGUAGACGGGAUCGAACGGUUGGCGGACAUUGAAUAGUGGCGGCUGAGAAAAGAGAGAAAAGGAAGAAAAAGGGAAAGGAAGGAAAGGGAGGGGCUAAUCUGCAAAAGUGAAUGGGAUUGAAUUUGAAUUGAAAUGUAAUCAAUAUAUUUUGGUUUUGAGAAUUCAAAUGUUUGAUUUGAAUAUUUAUUUGGUUAUUUAUUAGUUCCCAAAUGAAUUUGCUUUCCAUUAAAUUAUCCAAAAAUUAUCCAAUAUAACCUAUAAGCUUUGAUAUUUCUUAAAAACUAAUUAAAUAUUCUAAUGUGACCUUAAUAAUACAAUAGCACAUUGGUCGAGUUUAUUUGUAUAACAAUGUAUUUUACAAGGACACAUUUAAUCGAUUAUUCCAUAAAAGUAAAUUGAUACUUGGUACAAUAUUGACCUAAAUGUUUAAUUAAACACUCACAUAAACCUAUUUUAUAUAUAAAGUUCAAUUUAUUUGCAUGACAAAUUAUUUUACAUGAGUGAAUCCAUCCCAUGAGAGACUCGAUGAAAGUUAUAAAUGUUAAUUUAAUUAUUCUAGUGGAACACUCCUAUAUAUAUAAAAUCAUUGUAGUGGCGACUACUUCGUGGUUACUUAGAUGUCAUGACACUUGUCGACAUGGUUCAAGUAUUUAACAUACAAUUUGUAAUUAUUAAUAAUUGACUUGUGUUUUAUUUGGCUUGCUAUCAUGUACACAAAUAUUUAUAGGAUUAAUAAUAAUUAUCUUAUUCUAAUUACUUCUUAGUUGUACGGCUUUAGCUUAAUCUUCAAUCGUGACAAUUUAUAGUUUGGCAAGCAAUAGCAACCAUAACAUCCAGCAUAAUGCAAAAGUUUUAAAAAGUUCGAAAUUUUAGUGAUUUUUAUUAUUAGGGAUUUUCAGGAUAUUACAUCCGAUGAUUUAAAUAAUGGGUCCACCAAUUCUAGUGUACGUGUAGAUUUGUUAAUAUAGAUUUUAACUUGCUAAUUUAAUGGGUACACAAUAUAAUGGUGUAGACUUUAUUUCGAAACAGUGCAUUAUUUGAGAAUAAUAGUAUAAUGUAAUAAAAAAUAGAUCCGAUGAUUUAAAUAAUAGGUCAUCGGUUUAAGUACACGUAUAAAUUAGUUAAUGUAGAUCUUGAAUUGUUUAUUUGAUAGGUACACAAUAUAAUUGUGUAAACUUUAUUUUAAAAUAGUGCACUACUUGAAAAUAAUAUUAUGAGUACACUAUUUUAAGUGGAAAUUAUCUUAUAUUAUAAAUUUAAUGGGUAACAUAUAAUGGUAUAAAUUUUAUUUUCAAAAAAAAAUAUAGAGCUAAUUAGUUACCUGAGUUAUAUGAUGGUAGAUUUUUUUUUAAUUAUGAUUAUUUAAAAAAUAUAUCCAUUAUAUAAAUGAAAAAAAAAGAAGAAGGGAAGGAAGCGUACGUACCCAUGUACGUACAUAUACCUACCUAUGCGCGCGAGAAGGGGGAGAGCUGGGACGUAUAGUAUUUGGUUUGUUUUAAGAUUAAUUUCAUCUAACGGGGUAUAAUAAUGGACCCAUCAAUUUAAGUGAAAAUCAAAGGAUAUAUAUUUUGCUUUUUUCUUUGAAUUUUUAGGAUUUUAUCGCCACGUGACGGCUUGAGAGUAUUUGUAGGAAUUUUAUUGGACUUUUAGUAUAUAAUAGAUAAUAGAUAUUUAUGCAUAUUUCUUAAUUGUUCUGGUAUCAAGCCCAUGAAAGAAGCAUGCUACUUUGUCGUUGAUUCAUUGGACCUUACAAAUUAAACAAUUUGUUCUUGUC